UACGGAGGGUGCAAGCGUUGUUCGGAAUUACUGGGCGUAAAGCGCGUGUAGGCGGCCUUUUAUGUCAGGUGUGAAAGCCCUCGGCCUAACCGAGGAAGUGCGCCUGAAACUGAUUGGCUUGAGUACGAGAGAGGAGGACGGAAUUCCCAGUGUAGAGGUGAAAUUCGUAGAUAUUGGGAGGAACACCGGUGGCGAAGGCGGCAUCCUGGACCGACAUUGACGCUGAGGCGCGAAAGCUAGGGUAGCAAAC
rnacentral:rRNA from 1 species